AGUGAACGCUGGCGGUAGGCCUAACACAUGCAAGUCGAACGGCAGCACAGUAAGAGCUUGCUCUUACGGGUGGCGAGUGGCGGACGGGGGAGGAAUACAUCGGAAUCUACUUUUUCGUUGGUGAUAACGUAGGGAAACUUACGAUAAUACCGCAUACGACCUACGAGGGAAAGCAGGGGAACUUCUGACCUUGCGCGGUUGAAUGAGCCGAUGUCGGAUUCGCUCGUUGGCGGGGUAAAGGCCCACCAAGGCGACGAUGCGUAGCUGGUCUGAGAGGACGAUCAGUCACACUUGAACUGAGACACGGUGCAGACUCCUACGUGAGGCAGCAGUGGGGAAUAUUGGACAAUGGGCGCAAGCCUGAUCCAGCCAUACCGCGUGAGUGAAGAAGGGCUUCGGGUUGUAAAGCACUUUUGUUGGGAAAGAAAAGCAGCAGGUUAAUACCCCGCUGUUCUGACGUUACCCAAAGAAUAAGCACCGGCUAACUUCGUG
rnacentral:rRNA from 1 species